rnacentral:misc_RNA from 1 species
GAAUGAAGAACGUAGCGAAAUGCGAUAAGUAAUGUGAAUUGCAGAAUUCAGUGAAUCAUCGAAUCUUUGAACGCACCUUGCGCCCUUUGGCCAUUCCGAAGGGCAUGCCUGUUUGAGUAUCAUGAACACCUCAACUCUUCAUGGUUUUCCAUGAUGAGCUUGGACUUUGGGGGUCUUGCUGGCCUGUGGGUCGGCUCCUCUCAAAUGAAUCAGCUUGCCGGUUUUUGGUGGGCAUCACAGGUGUGAUAACUAUCUACGCUUGUGGUUUUCCACCAGGGUAACCUUCAGCAGUGGAGGUUCACUGGAGCUUACAAAUGUCUCUCCUCUGUGAGGACAGCCCUUUGAAUGUUUGAUCUCAAAUCAGGUAGGACUACCCGCUGAACUUAAGCAUAUCAAUAAGCGGAGGA